AGUGAACGCUGGCGGUAGGCCUAACACAUGCAAGUCGAACGGCAGCACAGUAAGAGCUUGCUCUUACGGGUGGCGAGUGGCGGACGGGUGAGGAAUACAUCGGAAUCUACUUUUUCGUGGGGGAUAACGUAGGGAAACUUACGCUAAUACCGCAUACGACCUACGGGUGAAAUCAGGGGAUCUUCGGACCUUGCGCGAUUGAAUGAGCCGAUGUCGGUUUAGCUAGUUGGCGGGGUAAAGGCCCACCAAGGCGACGGUCCGUAGCUGGUCUGAGGGGAUGGUGAGCCACACUGGAACUGAGACACGCUCCAGACUCCUACGGGAGGCAGCAGUGGGGAAUAUUGGACAAUGGGCGCAAGCCUGAUCCAGCCAGACCGCGUGGGUGAAGAAGGCCUUCGGGUUGUAAAGCCCUUUUGUUGGGAAAGAAAAGCAGCAGGUUAAUACCCCGCUGUUCUGACGGUACCCAAAGAAUAAGCACCGGCUAACUUCGUG
rnacentral:rRNA from 1 species